ensembl:snoRNA small nucleolar RNA SNORA44
CAGCAUGCUAUCCUAAGGACCUGGGCUUUGUAGCCUCUGGUUCUCCAAGUGCAUGCCAGAGAAACGGGCAGUCUUUGACUGUCCUGGCCUUUGUGCUUGAGGCAGUCACUCUACUGUCCUACAAAU